rnacentral:rRNA from 1 species
GACGGAGGGUGCUAGCGUUAUUCGGAAUUAUUGGGCGUAAAGGGCGCGUAGGCGGCCUUCUAAGUCAGACGUGAAAUCCCUCGGCUCAACCGGGGAACUGCGUCUGAGACUGGAAGGCUUGAAUCCGGGAGAGGGAUGUGGAAUUCCCGGUGUAGCGGUGAAAUGCGCAGAUAUCGGGAAGAACACCCGUGGCGAAGGCGGUUCUCUGGGACGGUACUGACGCUGAGACGCGAAAGCGUGGGGAGCAAACAGG